rnacentral:rRNA from 1 species
AUACGGAGGGUGCAAGCGUUACUCGGAAUCACUGGGUGUAAAGCGCGCGCAGGCGGCUAUUUAAGUUGGAUGUGAAAGCCUACGGCUCAACCGUAGAACUGCAUCCAAAACUAUUUAGCUAGAGUGUGGGAGAGGAAGAUGGAAUUAGUUGUGUAGGGGUAAAAUCCGUAGAGAUAACUAGGAAUACCAAAAGCGAAGGCAAUCUUCUGGAACACUACUGACGCUGAGGCGCGAAAGCGUGGGGAGCAAACGGGAUUAGAAACCCAGUAGUCC